rnacentral:rRNA from 1 species
UACGUAGGGUGCGAGCGUUGUCCGGAAUUAUUGGGCGUAAAGAGCUCGUAGGCGGUGUGUCGCGUCGGCCGUGAAAACCUGGGGCUCAACUCUGGGCGUGCGGUCGAUACGGGCAUCACUUGAGUUCGGCAGGGGAGACUGGAAUUCCUGGUGUAGCGGUGAAAUGCGCAGAUAUUAGGAGGAACACCGGUGGCGAAGGCGGGUCUCUGGGACGGUACUGACGCUGAGACGCGAAAGCGUGGGGAGCGAACAGG